GAUGAACGCUGGCGGCGUGCCUAAUACAUGCAAGUCGAGCGAACAGACGAGGAGCUUGCUCCUCUGACGUUAGCGGCGGACGGGUGAGUAACACGUGGAUAACCUACCUCUAAGACUGGGAUAACUUCGGGAAACCGGAGCUAAUACCGGAUAAUAUAUUGAACCGCAUGGUUCAAUAGUGAAAGACGGUUUUGCUGUCACUUAUAGAUGGAUCCGCGCCGCAUUAGAUAGUUGGUAAGGUAACGGCUUACCAAGGCAACGAUGCGUAGCCGACCUGAAAGGGUGAUCGGCCACACUGGAACUGAGACACGGUCCAGACACCGACGGGAGGCAGCAGUAGGGAAUCUUCCGCAAUGGGCGAAAGCCUGACGGAGCAACGCCGCGUGAGUGAUGAAGGUCUUCGGAUCGUAAAACUCUGUUAUUAGGGAAGAACAAAUGUGUAAGUAACUAUGCACGUCUUGACGGUACCUAAUCAGAAAGCCACGGCUAACUACGUG
rnacentral:rRNA from 1 species